UUUAAGUGUUUAGGGAGAAAU
rnacentral:piRNA from 1 species